CCGGAUGGCUGGGCGACCGCUGGCACCGCGAGAGAUCGCGGGGCUGGAGGAAAGUCCGGGCUCCACGGAAAUACGGUGCCGGCUAAUGGCCGGCGGGCGUGAGGUUUUCCAACGGUUCGCCGUUGGCGAAGCUUGGGCUCAGGGAAAGUGCCACAGAAAACAAACCGCCGGUCCUGCAAUCCCCGCAAAGGGGCAAGCACGGCCGGCAAGGGUGAAACGGUGGGGUAAGAGCCCACCGCGCUUCCAGCAAUGGCGGCGGCACGGCAAACCCCACCGGGAGCAAGGCCGAAUAGGGAGAGCUGUCGCCAUGCUUCGGCAUAGAGCGGCAGGGGUGUUUCCGCCCCGCUCUCCGGGUUGGCCGCGCGAAGCCUGCGGCAACGCAGGCUCCAGAGGAAUGGUCGUCCAUGGCUUUCGGGCCAAGACAGAACCCGGCUUACAGGCCAUCCGGUAUC
rnacentral:RNase_P_RNA from 1 species